rnacentral:rRNA from 1 species
GUGCAGCAGUCGCGAAAACUCCGCAAUACGCGAAAGCGUGACGGGGCCAUCCCGAGUGCCGUCUGCUGAGGAUGGCUUUUCCCCUGUGUUGAUAGCUGGGGGAAUAAGGAGAGGGCAAGUCUGGUGUCAGCCGCCGCGGUAAUACCAGCUCUUCGAGUGGUAGGGAUGUUUAUUGGGCCUGAAGCAUCCGUAGCUGGCUGAACAAGUCCUCCGUUAAAUCCAGCGAUUUAAUCGUUGGAUUGCGGGGGAUACUGCACGGCUAGAGGGUGGGAGAGGCCAACGGUAUUCUCGGGGUAGGGGUAAAAUCCUAUAAUCCCGGGAAGACCACCAGUGGCGGAGGCGGUCGGCUAGCACGCGCUCGACAGUGAGGGACGAAAGCUGGGGGAGCGAACCGGAUUAGAUACCCGGGUAGUCC